rnacentral:rRNA from 1 species
UAGGGAAUCUUCGGCAAUGGACGAAAGUCUGACCGAGCAACGCCGCGUGAGUGAAGAAGGUUUUCGGAUCGUAAAACUCUGUUGUUAGAGAAGAACAAGGACGUGAGUAACUGAACGUCCCCUGACGGUAUCUAACCAGAAAGCCACGUCUAACUACGUGCCAGCAGCCGCGGUGAUACGUAGGUGGCAAGCGUUGUCCGGAUUUAUUGGGCGUAAAGCGAGCGCAGGCGGUUUCUUAAGUCUGAUGUGAAAGCCCCCGGCUCAACCGGGGAGGGUCAUUGGAAACUGGGAGACGUGAGUGCAGAAGAGGAGAGUGGAAUUCCAUGUGUAGCGGUGAAAUGCGUAGAUAUAUGGAGGAACACCAGUGGCGAAGGCGGCUCUCUGGUCUGUAACUGACGCUGAGGCUCGAAAGCGUGGGGAGCAAACAGG